AGCAGCCGCGGUAAUUCCAGCUCCAAUAGCGUAUAUUAAAGUUGUUGCAGUUAAAAAGCUCGUAGUUGAAUUUCGGGACCAAUCUGCCGGUCGUGCCUCCGGUACGCACUGGUUUUAUUGGUUUCUCCCUUCUGACGAACCAUGAUGUCAUUAAUUUGGUGUCAUGGGGAAUCAGGACUGUUACUUUGAAAAAAUUAGAGUGUUUAUAGCAGGCUCACGCUUGAAUACAUUAGCAUGGAAUAAUGAAAUAGGACGUUUGACCCUAUUUUGUUGGUUUCUAGGAUCGACGUAAUGAUUAAUAGGGAUAGUUGGGGGCAUUAGUAUUCAAUUGUCAGAGGUGAAAUUCUUGGAUUUAUUGAAGACUAACUACUGCGAAAGCAUUUGCCAAGGAUGUUUUCAUUAAUCAAGAACGAAAGUUAGGGGAUCGAAGACGAUCAGAUACCGUCGUAGUCUUAACCAUAAACUAUGCCGACUAGGGAUCGGAUGAUGUUAAAUUUUUUAAUG
rnacentral:rRNA from 1 species